AACGAACAAACAAACAAAACACAAUAACAGCAUACUUUAUUCAGUAAUAAAAAAAACACUUAUUAUGUAAUAAUUAUCUUUUCAGUUGAACUUAUUUGUAACUUAAUUGUACUUUUUUUUAUCCAUUUAUACUUUUAUACUUCUUUUUUUUUUUACUCUUUUGUUAAAAUGUGUACAUUGCAAAUUGCAAAAAAAAAAAAAAAAAAAAAAAAAAUAAAUAAAUAAAAAACACACACAUACUUAAAUGCCCUCUGUGUUAAAAUGAAAAAAUGUCUGUUAAUAGUAACAGUAAUUAUAAUAAUAACAAUCAUAUGUAUGGAACAUGUGAAGACAGUUAAAAUAAAAAAGAAAAAAAAUUUAAGUAUGUAUGAUAUAUACAUUACAAAAAAGAUAAAAAAUAAAAAAAUAUAUAUUUUUUUAAAUAGCUUUAUAAAAAAAAAUAGUAUAUAUCAUAAGAAUAAGCAAAAAAAUAAAUAUAAAAAUUUUAAACUAUAUAAAGGACGUGGGACAACUUGCUUUUAUGAAUGGAUCGAGAAUGACGAUAAUUUAGAAGUAAAAAUUCGAUUAUCUCCAUAUAUAAGCCCAGAAGAUAUACAGUAUAAAUUAAAAUGUGAUUAUAUUUAUGCAAAGUUAAAAACUAAACCAGAAAGUUUAAUAGAAGGAAAACUAAAAGGUAUUGUUGAUGUUAAUUUAUCUACAUGGUUUGUUGAAAGGUUUAAAGAUUAUAGUAUAUUAAAUAUAUAUUUAAAAAAAAAAAAAAAAGGGAUAGAUGAGUGGGUAGGUAUAAUAGAAAAAGAGGAAAUAUUAUACAUAAGUUAUGACAAUCAAUCAUCAAGCAAUAAUAAUAAUGAAAUUGUAAAUAAUUGUUUAUUCCAUAAUAAUAUAAAUAAAGAAAAUGAAUUAUUAUAUACACAAGUUUUUGAAAAUGUAAAAUAUGUUGACUUAUAUAAUUUUUUAAUUAGUUGGAUAAAUACAAAAUCGAAUAAUUCAAACGAAUUUGGCAUUCCUUUACUAAAAUUAAAAACAACUUUUAUAACUAAGGACGGAGAAAUAGAAAUAUUAUUAUCCUCUUAUGGUAUAAAAUGGGAUGCUGAAGAUAGUAUAGUGUUAAAAUUAAGUUAUGCUUCAAAAAAUAUUGAAUUAAAUGUUUUAAGAGGUAAAAUUGCUACUGGUAUAAAAGGGACAUAUGGUAAUAUGGUGGCUUAUGUUGUAAAAGAAUGUGAAAAUGCAAUUAUAAAAAAAUUACAACACGAUUUGAAAGGUGUUUUUUAUUUGAACCCCCAGUCUAAGAAAGUAACAGACUUAAUGCAUAAACAAUAUUUACACGGCAGUUAUAAUUAUACGAUACAUUCUGACGAGGGUGAGAAAAAAGAUCAUAUAUCGCUACACGACGAUAAUUGUAUAAGUAUGAGCACCCAUGGCAAUCAGAACGAAAUUAAUUUAAACACACACAACAAUAACAGUGGCAAUAACAGUGGCAAUAACAGUGGCAAUAACAGUGNNNNNNNNNNAAUAACAGUGGCAAUAACAGUGGCAAUAACAGUGGCAAUAACAGUGGAAAUAACAGUGGCAAUAACAGUGGNNNNNNNNNNAAUAACAGUGGCAAUAACAGUGGAAAUAACAGUGGCAAUAACAGUGGCAAUACCAAUGGCAAUACCAAUGG
ensembl:lncRNA